rnacentral:rRNA from 1 species
AGAACGAACGCUGGCGGCAUGCCUAACACAUGCAAGUCGAACGCGUGUAGCGAUACACGAGUGGCGGACGGGUGAGUAACGCGUGGGAACCUGCCCUGGAGUGUGGGAUAACCGAGGGAAACUUCGGCUAAUACCGCAUACGACCUGAGGGUGAAAGAUUUAUCGCUCUAGGAGGGGCCCGCGUCGGAUUAGCUAGUUGGUGGGGUAAAGGCCUACCAAGGCAGUGAUCCGUAGCUGGUCUGAGAGGAUGAUCAGCCACACUGGGACUGAGACACGGCCCAGACUCCUACGGGAGGCAGCAGUGGGGAUAUUGGACAAUGGGGGCAACCCUGAUCCAGCAAUGCCGCGUGAGUGAUGAAGGCCUUAGGGUUGUAAAGCUCUUUCGCGCGCGACGAUGAUGACGGUAGCGCGAGAAGAGCCCGGCUAACUCGCGCCAGCAGCCGC